rnacentral:rRNA from 1 species
GAUGAACGCUAGCUACAGGCUUAACACAUGCAAGUCGAGGGGUAACGAGAGGAAAGCUUGCUUUCCUUGUCGACGACCGGCGCACGGGUGAGUAACGCGUAUCCAACCUGCCCCCAACUAGGGAAUAACCUUGCGAAAGUAAGACUAAUACCCUAUAAUUUCCUCAGAUGCCAUCUGACGAGGAAUAAAGAUUUAUCGGUUGUGGAUGGGGAUGCGUCUGAUUAGCUUGUUGGCGGGGUAACGGCCCACCAAGGCAACGAUCAGUAGGGGUUCUGAGAGGAAGGUCCCCCACAUUGGAACUGCGACACGGUCCAGACUCCUACGGGAGGCAGCAGUGAGGAAUAUUGGUCAAUGGGCGGAAGCCUGAACCGGCCAAGUAGCGUGCAGGAUGACGGCCCUAUGGGUUGUAAACUGCUUUUAUACAGGAAUAAAGUUAGCCACGUGUGGUUAUUUGUAGGUACUGUAUGAAUAAGGACCGGCUAAUUCCGUGCCAGCCGCCGCGGUAA